GACCCAUUCGUCUAGCGGUCAGGACUCCGGAUUCUCAGUCCGGCAACAGGGGUUCGAUUCCCCUAUGGGUUACCA
rnacentral:tRNA from 1 species